rnacentral:miRNA from 1 species
UGGGGACCACCCUGUGUU